rfam:Tupaia chinensis contig86128, whole genome shotgun sequence.
CCUCUCUCAGCUCCAUUUGGUCACACAGGGCCCCAUGUGUGCUUGGCGUGUUUUGGGGGAGAGAAAGGAAGGCCCUCCCAAAGCAUAGCAGACCUGCAUAAAGUGACUUCUCUGUUCCUAGGAGUGUGAAGGUU